rnacentral:rRNA from 1 species
GAUGAACGCUGGCGGCGUGCCUAAUACAUGCAAGUCGAACGCACAGCGAAAGGUGCUUGCACCUUUCAAGUGAGUGGCGAACGGGUGAGUAACACGUGGACAACCUGCCUCAAGGCUGGGGAUAACAUUUGGAAACAGAUGCUAAUACCGAAUAAAACUUAGUGUCGCAUGACACAAAGUUAAAAGGCGCUUCGGCGUCACCUAGAGAUGGAUCCGCGGUGCAUUAGUUAGUUGGUGGGGUAAAGGCCUACCAAGACAAUGAUGCAUAGCCGAGUUGAGAGACUGAUCGGCCACAUUGGGACUGAGACACGGCCCAAACUCCUACGGGAGGCUGCAGUAGGGAAUCUUCCACAAUGGGCGAAAGCCUGAUGGAGCAACGCCGCGUGUGUGAUGAAGGCUUUCGGGUCGUAAAGCACUGUUGUAUGGGAAGAACAGCUAGAAUAGGAAAUGAUUUUAGUUUGACGGUACCAUACCAGAAAGGGACGGCUAAAUACGUGCCAGCAGCCGCGGUAAUACGUAUGUCCCGAGCGUUAUCCGGAUUUAUUGGGCGUAAAGCGAGCGCAGACGGUUUAUUAAGUCUGAUGUGAAAGCCCGGAGCUCAACUCCGGAAUGGCAUUGGAAACUGGUUAACUUGAGUGCAGUAGAG